UCGACCAUCAGAGAUAGGAGCGAAGAGCUGAUACUACUUCGGGAUAUGUUAUUGCUCCCGAAGCUGUUCAACAUUAAGUCUGGAUAGGGAAGAAGCUUUCACUUCUGGAUCCGAUGGAGAUUCGUCAGUCAAAUUUUUCGACCGACUAUGUCGAGAAGAAGAAGCCCUGGCCAUAAAGAAGGAAAACUAGAAAACUCUAAAAUUGAAACCCAAAGAAGAGAGACCCAAGGAGAAGGAUGAGAAAACUUGAUUUGAAAAUCAAAAAAGGAGGCAGA
rnacentral:lncRNA from 1 species